AACGAACGUUGGCGGCAUGGAUUAGGCAUGCAAGUCGAGGGAAUCCCAGCAAUGGGGGAACCGGCGUAAGGGGCAGUAAGGCAUGGGUACCUACCCUGAAGUUCGGGAUAGCCAUCAGAGAUGGUGGGUAAUACCGGAUGAUGUCGAGAGACCAAAGAUUUAUCGCUUUGGGAGGGGCCCAUGUGAUAUUAGCUAGUUGGUGAGGUAACGGCUCACCAAGGCAAAGAUGUCUAGCGGGUAUGAGAGUACGACCCGCGCCACUCGCACUGAGACACUGGCGAGACACCUACGGGUGGCUGCAGUCGAGGAUCUUCGUCAAUGGGCGAAAGCCUGAACGAGCGAUGCCGCGUGCGCGAUGAAGGCCUUCGGGUUGUAAAGCGCUUUAGUGGGGGAGAAAAGGGAAACCUUGAUCUAUCCCAAAAAUAAGCUCGGGCUAAGUUCGUACCAGCCGCCGCUGUAAUAC
rnacentral:rRNA from 1 species